rnacentral:rRNA from 1 species
GACGAACGCUGGCGGCGUGCUUAACACAUGCAAGUCGAACGAAGAGCGAUGGAAGCUUGCUUCUAUCAAUCUUAGUGGCGAACGGGUGAGUAACGCGUAAUCAACCUGCCCUUCAGAGGGGGACAACAGUUGGAAACGACUGCUAAUACCGCAUACGAUCUGACCUCGGCAUCGAGGAUAGAUGAAAGGUGGCCUCUAUUUAUAAGCUAUCACUGAAGGAGGGGAUUGCGUCUGAUUAGCUAGUUGGAGGUGUAACGGCCCACCAAGGCGAUGAUCAGUAGCCGGUCGGAGAGGAUGAACGGCCACAUUGGGACUGAGACACGGCCCAGACUCCUACGGGAGGCAGCAGUGGGGAAUCUUCCGCAAUGGACGAAAGUCUGACGGAGCAACGCCGCGUGAGUGAUGACGGCCUUCGGGUUGUAAAGCUCUGUUAAUCGGGACGAAAGGCCUUCUUGCGAAUAGUUAGAAGGAUUGACGGUACCGGAAUAGAAAGCCACGGCUAACUACGUG